AACGAACGCUGGCGGCGUGGUUUAGGCAUGCAAGUCGAGCGCGAAAGUUCCUUCGGGAACGAGUAGAGCGGCGAAAGGGUGAGUAAUGCUCAGGUAACUUACCCCUUGGACUGGGAUAGCCACUGGAAACGGUGGGUAAUACCGGAUGGUCUCGAGGGCUCCGCGGAGUCCACGAGUAAAGAUGGGGAUCUUCGGACCUGUCACCAAGGGAGAGGCUUGAGUCGUACCAGCUUGUUGGUGAGGUAAUGGCUCACCAAGGCGAAGACGCGUAGCCGGACUGAGAGGUUGGCCGGCCACACUGGCACUGAGACACUGGCCAGACUCCUACGGGAGGCUGCAGUCGAGAAUCUUCCGCAAUGGACGAAAGUCUGACGGAGCGACGCCGCGUGGAGGAAGAAGGCCUUCGGGUGUAAACUCCUGUCAGAGCUUUAUGAACC
rnacentral:rRNA from 1 species